GCCUGGGUGGCGUAAUCGGUAGCCGCGGCGAGCUUAAACCUCGCUGACCUUCGGUCGUCCGGGUUCGAGUCCCGGCCCAGGCAC
rnacentral:tRNA from 1 species